rnacentral:rRNA from 1 species
AUGGCCGCGGCGACUGGCAUGAUCAUGCUGGCGGCGCUGGCGAUCCUCACUCCGUCCGCCCGAGGGCUCGACCGCGCCGAUUUCCCGCCGGUGUUCCUCUUCGGCGUCGCGACGUCUGCUUACCAGAUCGAGGGCGCGUACCUGGAGGACGGCAAGGGCCUCAGCAACUGGGAUGUGUUCACCCACACACCUAGAAGAAUUAAGGAUGGACGGAAUGGGGACAUAGCGGAUGAUCACUACCAUCGUUACAUGGAGGACGUGGAGAUUAUACAUAGUUUGGGGGUCGACUCCUACAGGUUCUCAAUCUCAUGGGCGAGAAUCCUACCAAGAGGUCAGCUUGGAGGCGUUAAUUCAGCCGGAAUAGCCUUCUAUGACCGCCUGAUCACGGCACUCCUUCAGAAAGGGAUAGAGCCGUUCGUGACACUGCAUCACUUUGACAUGCCGCAAGAACUGGAGACCCGGUACGGCAGUUGGCUGGGCGCUGGAAUCAGGGAGGAGUUCGGCUACUACGCGGACGUGUGCUUCAAGGCGUUCGGCGACCGGGUCAGGUUCUGGACCACCUUCAACGAGCCCAACCUGUUCGCCAAGUUCGCCUACAUGCUGGGCAACUACCCUCCCGCGCACUGCUCACCGCCGUUCGGGACCUGCAACAGUGGGAACUCUCGCCGGGAGCCCUACGUCGCGGCUCACAACAUGCUGCUGUCGCAUGCUGCCGCCGUCGAGAACUACAAGAAGAAUUACCAGGCAACGCAAGGCGGAUCGAUCGGGAUUGUGAUCGCGAUGAAAUGGUAUGAGCCGCUGACCAACUCCACCGAGGAUAUCUUGGCAGCAAGACGGGCGUUGUCCUUCGAGGUGGAUUGGUUUCUGGAUCCGAUAUUCUUUGGUGACUAUCCCAGAGAAAUGUGUGAGAUGUUAUCAUCAAACUUACCAAAGUUUACCUCAGAAGAGAAGAGGCUGCUACGGAAGAACAACGCAGAUUUUAUCGGGCUAAAUCAUUACACAUCGAUUUACGCCAAGGAUUGCAUCUCUUCUCCAUGCGACCUUGAGACUUAUGAGGGAAAUGCGCUGGUGCAAGCUGUAGGUGAAAGAGACGGCGUGACAAUUGGAAAACCAACUGCAAUUCAUGGUUACUAUGAUGUUCCGGAAGGUAUGGAGCUAAUCGUCAAGUAUGUCAAUCAGAGAUACAAGAACACGCCUGUCUAUGUUACCGAAAAUGGCUACUCGCAGUUUAGUGACAAUAGUAUGGAGGACUUGAUCAAUGACGUUGGAAGAGUAAACUACCUCCAGGGCUAUCUCACAAGCAUCUCUUCAGCAGUCAGGAGAGGAGCAAACGUGAGUGGCUACUUCGUGUGGAGUCUCAUGGACAACUUCGAGUGGCGUUUUGGUUUCACCGUGAGGUUUGGGUUGUAUCAUGUAGAUUUUGAAACGCGGGAGAGGACUCCAAAAAUGUCAGGGAAUUGGUACCGUGACUUCCUCACGGGGUCUAGGCCGGUCGACCAAGCCCACACCCUGAGAGAAGAUUCAUGA